CCAUAAUAUAUAAUGUUCAUCAAAGCAAUCAUGUUUAAAAUGUUCAAUAAAAUAAAAUGUCAUUAGUCCAUAGUCAUUGAAACAAACCAGACGGUUUUUUAUUUUGGCUGGCAACCUGCAACAGGUACCGCCGUUUUAGAUGUUGUAUCAUCGUUUCGUAUUUCCUUGAAGCCAAAGCGAAAACAGUUUUCAUGUGGUACAGCGAGAAAUCUGCUUUAUGUUAUGAAUAGAGAUUGUUAUAUUUAACUAAGAUAAACAGUCAGAUAGUGACAAGUUAAAGUGAUCGAAGCUCCAGAGGAUGGGGAAUAUGUAAAUAUAAUAUUGUAAAAAAUCAACUAGAUUUAACGAUAAUGAGUGGAUAAGUGUAGUUUGGAGGAUAAAAUUACGGAGCAGAAUAGAACACCAGUAACAUUUUUUGUUUUAUGUUGGUUAUAAAAAAGUCAUGUCAAGCAAAUAAUGGUUUUCUACACCGUUAUAGAACUAAAAAUGUUAGUUGGGAAAUGACGUCUGAAUCCCGAUAAUUGAUAAAGGAACUGUAUUCACAUGUAAAUGCAAAACGUUCAGCCAUGCCUAGAUGAGACCUAGAGCUGAUGGACUAUUAGGAUAGAAAAUAAUAAAAUUAAGCCGAUUACUAUGUGCAGGCCAAGGAUACUAAACUACCUAGUGGUAGAACAAGAUUGUGGAACAAACUAAUACCAAACGAAAGUAAGAGACAUUAAAAGCGAUAUUUGAAUGAUUAUCUUACAAAUAAAAACAAUAGCAAAAGAAAAACGACAUGCAAAGGAGUAUGAAACAAGCCGAGGAAAAAACUCUCUGAAUAUAACUCUUUUGCCGCAUGAUUAUGUAUGUUUUUCUGUUAAACUGAAAUGAAUAAAAUAGGGUUUAUAUUGAAA